rnacentral:rRNA from 1 species
AUGAACGCUGGCGGCGUGCUUAACACAUGCAAGUCGAACGAAGCACUUUAUUUGAUUUCUUUUGGGACUGAUUAUUUUUUGACUGAGUGGCGGACGGGUGAGUAACGCGUGGGUAACCUGCCUUGUACAGGGGGAUAACAGUUGGAAACGGUUGCUAAUACCGCAUAAGCGCACGGCAUCGCAUGAUGCUGUGUGAAAAACUCCGGUGGUAUAAGAUGGACCCGCGUUGGAUUAGCUAGUUGGUGAGGUAACGGCCCACCAAGGCGACGAUCCAUAGCCGACCUGAGAGGGUGACCGGCCACAUUGGGACUGAGACACGGCCCAAACUCCUACGGGAGGCAGCAGUGGGGAAUAUUGCACAAUGGGCGAAAGCCUGAUGCAGCGACGCCGCGUGAGCGAAGAAGUAUUUCGGUAUGUAAAGCUCUAUCAGCAGGGAAGAUAAUGACGGUACCUGACUAAGAAGCACCGGCUAAAUACGUG